GAAAUGCGAUAAGUAAUGUGAAUUGCAGAAUUCAGUGAAUCAUCGAAUCUUUGAACGCCCCUUGCGCUCCUUGGUAUUCCUUGGAGCAUGCCUGUUUGAGUAUCAUGAAAUCUUCAAAGUAAAUCUUUUGUUAACUCAAUUGGUUUCUACUUUGGUAUUGGAGGUCUUUGCAGCUUCACACCUGCUCCUCUUUGUUCAUUAGCUGGAUCUCAGUGUUAUGCUUGGUUCCACUCGGCGUGAUAAGUUAUCUAUCGCUGAGGACACUGUAAAAGGUGGCCAAGGUAAAUGCAGAUGAACCGCUUCUAAUAGUCCAUUGACUUGGACAAUACUUUUAUGAUCUGAUCUCAAAUCAGGUAGGACUACCCGCUGAACUUAAGC
rnacentral:misc_RNA from 1 species